rnacentral:rRNA from 1 species
AAAUUGAAGAGUUUGAUCAUGGCUCAGAUUGAACGCUGGCGGCAGGCCUAACACAUGCAAGUCGAACGGUAACAGGAAGAAGCUUGCUUCUUUGCUGACGAGUGGCGGACGGGUGAGUAAUGUCUGGGAAACUGCCUGAUGGAGGGGGAUAACUACUGGAAACGGUAGCUAAUACCGCAUAACGUCGCAAGACCAAAGAGGGGGACCUUCUGGCCUCUUGCCAUCGGAUGUGCCCAGAUGGGAUUAGCUAGUAGGUGGGGUAACGGCUCACCUAGGCGACGAUCCCUAGCUGGUCUGAGAGGAUGACCAGCCACACUGGAACUGAGACACGGUCCAGACUCCUACGGGAGGCAGCAGUGGGGAAUAUUGCACAAUGGGCGCAAGCCUGAUGCAGCCAUGCCGCGUGUAUGAAGAAGGCCUUCGGGUUGUAAAGUACUUUCAGCGGGGAGGAAGGGAGUAAAGUUAAUACCUUU